rnacentral:rRNA from 1 species
AGUGCAUGUGGUGGAUGCCUUGGCAGUCAGAGGCGAUGAAAGACGUGAUAGCCUGCGAAAAGCUCCGGGGAGGCGGCAAAUAUCCUUUGAUCCGGAGAUGUCUGAAUGGGGGAACCCACCUACUUUAAGGUAGGUAUUGCAACAUGAAUACAUAGUGUUGCAAGGCGAACGAGGGGAAGUGAAACAUCUCAGUACCCUUAGGAAAAGAAAUCAAUUGAGAUUCCCUCAGUAGCGGCGAGCGAACGGGGAUCAGCCCAUUAAGUUAUGUGUGUUUUAGUGGAACGCUCUGGGAAGUGCGAACGUAGAGGGUGAUAUUCCCGUACACGAAAGGGCACACAUAAUGAUGACGAGUAGGGCGAGGCACGUGAAACCUUGUCUGAAUAUGGGGGGACCAUCCUCCAAGGCUAAAUACUCCUGACUGACCGAUAGUGAACCAGUACCGUGAGGGAAAGGCGAAAAGAACCCCUGUGAGGGGAGUGAAAUAGAUCCUGAAACCGCAUGCAUACAAGCAGUGGGAGCACCUUCGUGGUGUGACUGCGUACCUUUUGUAUAAUGGGUCAGCGACUUAUAUUCAGUAGCAAGGUUAACCGUAUAGGGGAGCCGUAGAGAAAUCGAGUCUUAAUAGGGCGUUUAGUUGCUGGGUAUAGACCCGAAACCAGGCGAUCUAUCCAUGAGCAGGUUGAAGGUUGGGUAACACUAACUGGAGGACCGAACCCACUGUCGUUGAAAAGCCAGGGGAUGACUUGUGGAUAGGGGUGAAAGGCUAAUCAAGCCUGGUGAUAGCUGGUUCUCCCCGAAAGCUAUUUAGGUAGCGCCUCGGACGAAUACCAUAGGGGGUAGAGCACUGUUUCGGCUAGGGGGUCAUCCCGACUUACCAAACCGAUGCAAACUCCGAAUACCUAUGAGUACUAUCCGGGAGACAGACUGCGGGUGCUAACGUCCGUAGUCAAGAGGAAAACAAUCCAGACCGCCAGCUAAGGCCCCAAAAUCAUAGUUAAGUGGGAAACGAUGUGGGAAGGCAUAGACAGCUAGGAGGUUGGCUUAGAAGCAGCCACCCUUUAAAGAAAGCGUAAUAGCUCACUAGUCGAGUCGGCCUGCGCGGAAGAUGUAACGGGGCUAAAACUAUGUGCCGAAGCUGCGGNNGCUGGAGGUAUCAGAAGUGCGAAUGCUGACGUGAGUAACGACAAAACGGGUGAAAAACCCGUUCGCCGAAAGACCAAGGGUUCCAGUCCAACGUUAAUCGGGGCUGGGUGAGUCGACCCCUAAGGCGAGGCCGAAAGGCGUAGUCGAUGGGAAAAUGGUUAAUAUUCCAUUACUUCUGUGUAAUGCGAUGAGAGGACGGAGAAGGCUAAAUCAGCCUGGCGUUGGUUGUCCAGGUGAAAGGAUGUAGGCAUGUAUCUUAGGCAAAUCCGGGGUACUCUAUGCUGAGAUCUGAUAGCAAGCUGUACUUGUACAGCGAAGUGGUUGAUGCCAUGCUUCCAGGAAAAGUCUCUAAGCUUCAGUUACACAGGAAUCGUACCCGAAACCGACACAGGUGGUCAGGUCGAGUAGACCAAGGCGCUUGAGAGAACUCUGCUGAAGGAACUAGGCAAAAUGGUACCGUAACUUCGGGAGAAGGUACGCUGUUGUUGGUGAUGGAACUCGCUUCCUGAGCUGACGACAGCCGCAGAAACCAGGCCGCUGCAACUGUUUAUUAAAAACAUAGCACUCUGCAAACACGAAAGUGGACGUAUAGGGUGUGAUGCCUGCCCGGUGCUGGAAGGUUAAUUGAUGGGGUUAGCGUAAGCGAAGCUCUUGAUCGAAGCCCCAGUAAACGGCGGCCGUAACUAUAACGGUCCUAAGGUAGCGAAAUUCCUUGUCGGGUAAGUUCCGACCUGCACGAAUGGCAUAAUGAUGGCGGCGCUGUCUCCAGCAGAGGCUCAGUGAAAUCGAAAUCGCUGUGAAGAUGCAGUGUACCCGCGGCUAGACGGAAAGACCCCGUGAACCUUUACUGCAGCUUGACACUGAACUUUGACCUUACUUGUGUAGGAUAGGUGGGAGGCUUUGAAGCUGGAACGCUAGUUCCAGUGGAGCCGUCCUUGAAAUACCACCCUGGUAAUGUUGAGGUUCUAACUCUGUCCCGUGAUCCGGGACGAGGACCGUGUCUGGUGGGUAGUUUGACUGGGGCGGUCUCCUCCUAAAGAGUAACGGAGGAGUACGAAGGUGCGCUCAGCGUGGUCGGAAAUCACGCGUAGAGUAUAAAGGCAAAAGCGCGCUUAACUGCGAGACCCACAAGUCGAGCAGGUACGAAAGUAGGUCUUAGUGAUCCGGUGGUUCUGUAUGGAAGGGCCAUCGCUCAACGGAUAAAAGGUACUCUGGGGAUAACAGGCUGAUACCGCCCAAGAGUUCAUAUCGACGGCGGUGUUUGGCACCUCGAUGUCGGCUCAUCUCAUCCUGGGGCUGAAGCAGGUCCCAAGGGUAUGGCUGUUCGCCAUUUAAAGAGGUACGCGAGCUGGGUUUAGAACGUCGUGAGACAGUUCGGUCCCUAUCUACCGUGGGCGCUGGAAAUUUGAGAGGAUCUGCUCCUAGUACGAGAGGACCAGAGUGGACGAACCUCUGGUGUACCGGUUGUGACGCCAGUCGCAUCGCCGGGUAGCUAUGUUCGGAAGGGAUAACCGCUGAAAGCAUCUAAGCGGGAAGCCUACCUCAAGAUAAGAUUUCCCUAGGACUUUAUGUCCUCUAAAGAGCCGUUCGAGACUAGGACGUUGAUAGGUUGGAUGUGGAAGCAUAGUGAUAUGUGAAGCUGACCAAUACUAAUUGCUCGUGAGGCUUGACU